AGGAAAUGCUUCAAACCACAGCUGAACGGGCGUUAGAAACCGUGGGUGGAACUUGCUUAUUACCUUCUCCACGGGUGAUUGCAACUCCCGGCUAAAGUCAAAGCCUUCCUAAGCUUGAUAAGGGCUUGGAGCGAGGGUUGCUGCAUCGCCCUCCAUCCCGGCUCAGUGUUAUUUGUGGAAGUUAGCGGCAUUCCCCCCCAGGACACACCCUCUCCCCCUCCCCAGCAGCCCCCUCUCUGACACAAGCGCACCGCGCACACGCGGCCUCUCGGGGAGACGCGGCGCACUCGGCGCGGCUGCAGUCGGGCCGCCUCGCCCCGAGCCUGUUCGAGGGGGCCUGGCCGCCUGGAGGCUUCCCCGGAGCCCCAGCACGCCAAGACGUCUUCCUCGCUGCCUGCGAGGGGCCGGGCUUUGGGAAGCUCGGCUGCCCGUUCGUGUUCUCCGUUGUAGUCCGCAAGCUAGACUGAAUUCAGAGCCUCGAAGUUGCAAGCUGGGAACAGCUGAGAUCUGAAAGACCCCCGAGGGGAGCUUUUUUUAGGGGCAGAGCGUGUCUCCUGCUCAACUGAUGGUUCUGUGAGGGGAAAGAGCUACACAACACUCCUGAUAUCCAGAUCCGCAGUGAGGGUGGGGACUUCCACACCCUGAUCAUAGCGGAGGCCUUCGAGGACGACACAGGUCGCUAUACCUGUCUGGCUACAAACCCUAGCGGCUCAGACACCACGUCUGCGGAGGUGUUCAUUGAAGGUGCCAGUUCAACAGAUUCUGAGAGUGAAAAUUUAGCUUUCAAAUCCAGCCUUGGAGCCAUGCCGCAGUAAGUGCCUGCGAUCCCAUCAAUUAUCUGUAUAACAAAGAAUGUGGACGGAAUCAUUGGGAGCUCAAAAGAAAACAACUUCUGUCUCCUUGACAAUAGGAUCGUCAUCUCCAAAGACGGGAGUGACCACAGCUGUGAUUCAACCAUUGUCUGUCCCUGUUCAACAGGUUCACAGCCCAACCUCGUAUCUCUACCGACCUGAUGGAGCUACUCCUGCCUGCUUUCCUCCUGUUUUUACAAAGGAACUGCAAAACAUAGCAGCAUCCGAGGGUCAGGUGGUGGUUCUGGAGUGCCGGGUCCGAGGAGCACCCCCUUUGCAGGUCAAGUGGUUCCGACAAGGGAGUGAAAUUCAAGACUCUCCAGAUUUCAGAAUUCUACAGAAAAAGGAGAUCUGUACCCUAGUUAUCGCUGAGACUUUCCCCGAAGAUGCAGGGAUAUUUACGUGCUCGGCAAGAAAUGAUUACGGCUCAGUAACCAGCACUGCCCAGCUGAUUGUCACCUCAGCCAACACUGAAAACUGUAACUAUGACUCAGUGGGAGAAUCCGACAAUGAUCACUUCCAGCACUUUCCACCUCCCCCUCCAAUCUUGGAGGCGAGUUCCUUUGAGUUGGCUUCAAAGAACCCAUCUGAGAUCCAGCAGGUGAACAGCCCUGAGUUAGGACUGAGCAUGGCAGCCCUUCAAAUGCAGUUCAGUUCUGCCGAGCGGGAAACAAACGGAGUCCAUCCCAGCCAUGGAGUAAACGGACUGAUUAACGGCAAAGCUAACAGUAAUAAAUCUCUUCCAACACCAGCUGUCCUGCUUUCACCCACUAAGGAGCCACCACCUCUGCUUGCCAAACCCAAACUGCUGCGGCUGAGACGCCAGCGGUCCACCUCAUUCGGAUUCAUCAGGCAAACACCAUUGGAGUCCGCGCCUUCUCACAUACAAUGUAGUCGGGGUACAGUCCCUUUGGCAGGACUACAGAUGCUUUGGACCCCAUCCUACAGCCUUCACAAAGCCACACGACCAUUUACGUGCCCCACAGAGAGUUGCGCCUCCACAGACCUCCUGAAGGAGAAUCCCCUGCAUCUGGGAAGCCAGCUGCAGGAUUCCCGUUCGGAGGAACAGCUCAAGUCAGUGUUGGCCCUUGUAGGGACACCAGCCCAGCCGCCCAGUCCUCAUUGCCUGAGCUACAUGACGGACACAGCCAUCCUUUGACAGUUCAGAGACAUUCCCAGGAGGAUUAUGAAGUGGUCAGCAGUUGCUCCCUCUUUCUCAUGGUGGGGGUUCUUCCAUGUGGACAUGCCUGGUGCAGUUAAAGAAGCCGGAUACAGACACAGAUCAAACCUGGCUCUGCAGGCGACUUGUUCUGUGACCUUGAGUGUGUUACCUGAAGUUUCCCCAUCUGUAAAUGGGCUGUGACAGGGACGCUCUGAAAAUCCAGCAACUCCAGAACCAAAUCCGGCUGGAGCAGGAGGCCAGCGCGCGGCACCCCCCGCCCGCCGGCGCCCCGCGCAGCGCGCCCCCG